AAAGAUCAUGUUACCCCUAGUAAUGUAUUAGAAGUUAUUAAAUGACAUGCUAAAAGUAGGGGCAUUGUUGGAAAAAGUGCUAAAAAAGUCUCAUAAAGACCCUACCAUAGGGACUUCUUCCUUUAGUCCCAAAUACCCCCUUUUAGUCCCGAAAAGUCCGUCCUGUUUGUUUCACAUGAGACUAAAAGGGACUUUUUUAGUCCCUACACUAAAAAGUCCAUGGAAACAAACACCCCCUAUAUAUUCCUUUGUUCGUAUAAAAAGCAACCUCAUGCAGUACAGUGGGAGCCACUGAUGUGAGGCCCCACAGCCGAUAGUCGGUGUUACUACUCUACCUCUGCACUUAGGAGCUCCGCUUCUCUAUGCCCUAGUUUGUCGCUCACCUCUUUUCGGGUGGUGGCGGGUGGAGGAGGUCAAUGUUAUCAUUGACCUUGGCGGAAGAUGGUUUGGUGGUUGCUCAAUCCAGCUCCGAACAGGAUCCCAUGAGCCCGAAACAUCGACGUCGGUGCUCCAAAUGAAGGCAUAGAAGGCACCGGGAAUUUUUGAUGAAUCGUCAGAAUUACAACAUGCACUGCAGAAUUGGUUGUCGCUUCUCUGUGGUACAGUUUCUGAAGGGCAAACAAGGUAAUCAGGGUGGAUGAUAGAGGUUCUCGUAUCGAAGGGAAAAUGAGUGUUCAGAGUGGCUGCCACUACUUCCUGGACUCCUGGUCCAUUUUCCUAUAGGCAAGCAUGAUGGGCGCCAUAGUUGUCGUUUGUGUAUAUAUGCAGCUUAAAGCUUGGUCUUAGCAAAGCAUGCAGUAGCUAGCUGGCCCCGAUGUUAUCCCUGAGUAAUACAUUUUGAAACCAAAUUUCAUGCAGCUAGCUAUUCCUGUAAAAAUCGUCUGUAUGCCAGAUAAACCUCUUCGGACAAACUAGUAAAAUUUUCAACAACAAGUCAUUGCAACACCAAAA